rnacentral:rRNA from 1 species
CGCGCAGGUGGGAUAUUAAGUCUGGUGUUAAAGUUCGGGGCUCAACCCCGUGAAGCAUUUGGAAACUGAUAUUCUUGAGUGCAGGAGAGGAAAGUGGAAUUCCUAGUGUAGCGGUGAAAUGCGUAGAUAUUAGGAGGAACACCAGUGGCGAAGGCGACUUUCUGGACUGUGUCUGACACUGAGGCGCGAAAGCCAGGGUAGUGAACGGGAUUAGAUACCCCGGUAAUCCUGGCCGUAAACGAUGGGUACUAGGUGUUGGGGGUAUCGACCCCUCCAGUGCCGGAGUUAACGCAAUAAGUACCCCGCCUGGGGAGUACGGCCGCAAGGUUGAA